rnacentral:rRNA from 1 species
UACGAAGGGGGCUAGCGUUGUUCGGAAUUACUGGGCGUAAAGCGCACGUAGGCGGGUUGUUAAGUCAGGUGUGAAAUCCUGGAGCUCAACUCCAGAACUGCCUUUGAUACUGGCAACCUAGAGACUGGAAGAGGUUAGUGGAAUUCCCAGUGUAGAGGUGAAAUUCGUAGAUAUUGGGAAGAACACCAGUGGCGAAGGCGGCUAACUGGUCCAGCACUGACGCUGAGGUGCGAAAGCGUGGGGAGCAAACAGG